AGGGUUCGAUUAUGGCUCAGAAGGAACGCUGGCAGCGUGCAUAACACAUGCAAGUCGAACGGGAUUAUUAUCUUCGGAUGAUAUGAGAGUGGCGAACGGGUGAGUAACACGUAAGAAUCUACCUUUUUGACGGGGAUAACUUCUGGAAACGGAUGCUAAUACCCGAUAUGCUGUGGAGUGAAAGGAAUUUCGCCUAAAGAUGAUCUUGCGUCUGAUUAGCUAGAUAGUGUGGUAAUGGCGCACUAUGGCGACGAUCAGUAGCUGGUCUGAGAGGAUGGACAGCCACAUUGGAACUGAGACACGGUCCAAACUCCUACGGGAGGCAGCAGUGGGGAAUUUUCCGCAAUGGGCGAAAGCCUGACGGAGCGACGCUGCGUGAAGGAUGACGGCCUGCGGGUUGUAAACUUCUUUUCUCGAAGAAGAAUAAAUGACGGUAUUCGAGGAAUAAGCAUCGGCUAACUCUGUGCCAGCC
rnacentral:rRNA from 1 species